rnacentral:rRNA from 1 species
GAUGAACGCUAGCGGCAGGCUUAAUACAUGCAAGUCGAGGGGCAGCAGGGGUAGCAAUACUCGCUGGCGACCGGCAAACGGGUGCGGAACACGUACAGAACCUUCCUUUAAGUGGGGAAUAGCCCAGAGAAAUUUGGAUUAAUACCCCGUAACAUUAUGGAGUGGCAUCACUUUAUAAUUAUAGAUUCAUCGCUUAAAGAUGGCUGUGCGGCUGAUUAGGUAGUUGGCGGGGUAACGGCCCACCAAGCCUGCGAUCAGUAACUGGUGUGAGAGCACGACCAGUCACACGGGCACUGAGACACGGGCCCGACUCCUACGGGAGGCAGCAGUAAGGAAUAUUGGUCAAUGGACGCAAGUCUGAACCAGCCAUGCCGCGUGGAGGAUGAAGGUCCUCUGGAUUGUAAACUUCUUUAUCUGGGAAGAACCCAUGUUUUCUAAUGUGGUUGACGGUACCAGAUGAAU